AGUGAACGCUGGCGGUAGGCCUAACACAUGCAAGUCGAACGGCAGCACAGUAAGAGCUUGCUCUUACGGGUGGCGAGUGGCGGACGGGUGAGGAAUACAUCGGAAUCUACUUUUUCGUGGGGGAUAACGUAGGGAAACUUACGCUAAUACCGCAUACGACCUACGGGUGAAAGCUGGGGAUCUUCGGACCUUGCGCGAUUGAAUGAGCCGAUGUCGGAUUAGCUAGUUGGCGGGGUAAAGGCCCACCAAGGCGACGAUCCGUAGCUGGUCUGAGAGGAUGAUCAGCCACACUGGAACUGAGACACGGCCCAGACUCCUACGGGAGGCAGCAGUGGGGAAUAUUGGACAAAGGGCGCAAGCCUGAUCCAGCCAUACCGCGUGGGUGAAGAAGGCCUUCGGGUUGUAAAGCCCUUUUGUUGGGAAAGAAAAGCAGCAGGUUAAUACCCCGCUGUUCUGACGGUACCCAAAGAAUAAGCACCGGCUAACUUCGUG
rnacentral:rRNA from 1 species